AAAACUGAUUCAAAAUUAGCACAAGACUCGCUACAAAGAACACAAGACACGGUUUCCUGUGUAUGUGUGUUUUCUUCAGUUUUUUUAAGACUUCCAGAAAAGUUUCCUCUGCAAAACUGAGACCAAAAGGGUAAAAAAUGCAAAUGUGCUGGUCCAACCUUGAACCAUCAUCUGUACCCUGCCCAGGGAGGCCACAGAGACUCAGGAGAGAGAGGGCCAAGUCCCAAAGUCUCAGGAACUCUAAAAGGGAGCUCCCUAGAACUGUGUGCAAUCGCCAAUACUUUGGGCUCCAGCCUGGAAGGGGCAGCUCCUUGUACCCUGUGUCCUGAACCUGUCGACAGAGCCAGCCCAAGAGGAAACCGCUCACCACCUCAGAUCUGGGACUGAAAUGCUCACAACCUCAGGUCUGGGACUCACACGCACUCCCACCCUACCUUCACCUGCUGAGCCCCCAGUCCCUCACCAUCACCAAGGAAUGGAACCGCCAGUCCAGGAGGCUCCCACCCUAAGAAGCUGAGAGGCUACGUGCUGAGAGCGCAGGGCCCUGUGUGGGACAGGAGACAAGAAGAGAUGGUGAUGAGCCAAAGCGAGUUGCUGGGUGAGGCUAGGAGGCGGGAUUCUGAGUAGCUGGCCUUGGGGGGAGGCUGCAGCUUCUAGGGAUUCGGGGGGGGGACAGGCCCAGACAAACGUGUGGGACAUCAGGGAGCCAGAACCCUCUCUGCAGAAAAGGCACACCUCACACAGGAGUCCUGUUACAACGGAACAGGCCUUUCUGGGCAAAAGAGGGAGCAGCAGCCCCCCCCCCCCAGCUCUAGCUGGGACAGGCCACGGGGGGAGUCCCGGCAGAGGAGGGAAGGAGCCGUGUGGUCCGCGAGACCAUGAUGCUGCGUGGCGAGGCCGCGACAGGGUCAGGCCCUCCGAAUCUCACUCACUUCGGUUUGGUAAGACCCAGAUCGAUAAGGCUGGGACACACAGAAGACUGGAAAUCCCAAAUUUGCCGACUCGAAAAUCUCACCUCCUCCCAUUUGAAAGUGCACCCUCGUGUGCCCUCCGAGGGCAGGGCAGGGGGAGGCAAGGUCAGGACAGCGCGAGCAGUGAGCCCUGCUGGUGAAACCCGCUGUCUGUGUUGCCCACAGAGCAAGAGCCAGGUCUCCUGCGUUCACGCCUUUCGUCCCGCAGGCAUUUACGGAGCAGCCCACGCUUGGUGACACAGGCUUCUGGGGAUGCAGACAGACAUGGGCCCAUCCCCCUUGAACUUAGCGUCUGGCAGGGGAGACAGGCCCCCCAAAAGGAAAAACUCGCACGCAUGAGUACGUAAGUGUUCCACGAGGUGGUGCGCUCAGCAAGGGUGAGACGGGGCAACAGUCCUAAUCUGGAGGCUGAUCGGGAAAGGUUUUCCCAAAGACGCGGUACUUAAGGAAGGAAGGAAGCAGGGGUUCGCCAGUCCAGGGAGAAAGGGAGCGGACUCCAGGCAGAGGACGCGGCACGCGCCGAGGCCCUGGGGCGCACGGGAGGGGUGGGGCGUGCUGGAACGAGUCCGGCGUCCCUGGAGCUGGGUCGGCAAGGAGGAGUGUGGAGCGAGAGAGGGCUCGAGGCGCUGCUGGAGCGGGGCACUCAGAGUCCUACAGACACCCGAAGGGUUUUGGUCCUCACCCUGAAAGCAAUCAGAAGCCACCGAACGGAUUUAAGGGGUAGAGCGCCGUGCUCCUGGGCUCGUGAAAAGAUCACGCAGAUCGACCUUCUAAUGAACGCCUCGAGGAGCCGCGUCGAGCCGCUGGACGGCCAGUGCCGGGAGGGCCACAGAGCCUACUCGGCCACGGCUCCCCUUGCACACCCGGUGCCCGAGGCAGAGCGGCCAGGGUCAGUGCCGCCCCACCGGCUCCUGCCUCGGUUACCUUGAGAAAGACCCCCAGUGUCGGGAAAGCGGGACCUGUUUUCUUCGAGAGCGUGGAAAGGGGUCCGGGAAGCCUGACGGGUGACCACGGUCAGGACCCACAGCGAGAAGUCACCUGUAUGACGUGCUGAGCGAGAAGUCACCUGUAUGACGUGCUGAGAAGUGCCCCUCGCCUCCGGGUUCCUCCCACGACCCGCAACCGACGGGCAGUCUGCAAAGCGCCCGGCCGGCUCCCCUCAGUGCUGUCGGGGCAAGUCCGGGAAACUGUCACCACCCAGAGGAGCCUAAGGACACAGGAAGACUGACCCCAACUUGGGUCCUAGAACAGGAAAAGGACACUGGCUGGAAACUAAGCACAGGCUUAGUUAACAGGAACCUGUCAACACUGGUCCACCGGUUGUGACGGAGCCACCACACUAAGGGCUCGGUGAGCACGGGAGAAGUGGGCGGAUGGACGUCCGCUGACGAACCCCACGCUGUCCCCAUCACUGGUCAGCUUCAAGGCAAAUCCGGGUCGCUCACCCAGACUCGGGCAGUUUGCUCACUUGGACAUCACUCAGCCUUGGUUUUGUCAUCUGAGCAACGGGAAUAGUGUUUUGCUGAGAUUCUCGGGAGCGACUCAACAAAUACGAGUUCCCUUCAUAACUGGGAUGACGCUCGCUCAUCCACAGGACACACAUUUAUUCCCCUACACGCCACGCCCCCCACAGAGCCGUCACCGUCGGCGGCCCAGUCCGGGAGCGGGAGACGCGUCAUCUGUCUCCUCCAGACUCCCAGAAAGCUCGCUCCAGCCCGACCCUCUGGGCCCGUGACAUGCGCCUCGGUCCCCAUUCAGCAAGCGUUCGGGCCACGAGAAGACUCUCGUGUGCUGAACGGUUCAAAGUAAGAACAAAGGAUCCGUAUCAGAGGGACAGUGUGACGGUAAGUUCUGGAACAUUCCGGCCGCUUCCGAAUUCUGCCCCACUCACACAGUCCUUUGGUUGUUCCUUCAACAGACACCCCCUUGAGCACCUGUGACGUGCCAGGGAGCAACCUGGACACCCAGCUAGCGGCUGGCAGCUUGGGCCUCUACUGUAAGCACACAGGCUUUUUAAAACGUCUUUGGCAUUUGUGAAGCACUCCUGUCUGAAAUGAAACAGAAAUCGUUAGCCUCAUUUAGAAAAUAAUUCCUUUCCUCCCACACACGCUACACCGUGCGCCUACGACGUUGCUCAGAUUUUCCAACUACGAAUUUCCUUUAGGUCAAGGCCGAGAACCCAGGGGAAGCUAAGGAAGACGUCUCGAGAAAGCCUUGCGCUCACAGCGGUUUUGAGUGGAAAUACGGCCUUCGCUGUGACUGCAUCAUGGUUGAAUUUCGCACCAGAGAAAGGAAGGACCGACGUUAACCUCAGAACGAGGAAGACCGUACUAGUCACACACAGAAAAGCAGUCCCCUGAGCCAGAAGCCGCGGGGGCCGCGGCCCCGGGAGCCCGUCGCCGAUGUUUCCGAGGACAGCUGGAAGGCGGGCCCCGGGCUGGCCGAGCCAGAGUCUGGCCGAGCAGGGUCGGAGACGGAGGGAAGGCAGAGGAGGGAAUACCCGUCCGGACAGGCUGGCAACAGCGAGUGGGAAGGAAGUGGCUUUGUGAGUUGUCGACCUCACGGCAGGCCGAGAAGCAGAAACUUAACCACACAGGGUACAGAGCUAUUUUCAACCUUGGGGUUUUCACCCCCUGUCCCCAAAGCGUUCGGGCGGCCUGGCUCCCGUGUGACACUGGCAGGGCCCUGGACUCAUGGGACAGGACGGGAGACAAGGCAGGUCUGAGAAAGGCACGUGGGGCAGCAGGCCCCCACUGUGGAAGCUGAGCCUCGGUUUCCCCAUCCGCUCACGGAGGUUCUGAAUCGGUCUCCUCCCGAGGCUGUAACAAAGGACCACAAACCCAGUGGCUGAAAACAACACACUGUGUCCUCCUCUGUUCUCUGACAUCUCGGUGCACAGUGAGGCCAGACGUCCGGAGGUCAGACGUCCAACACGGGUCUCCCUGGGCUCGAGCCCAAGCGUCAGCUGGGCUGGUUCCUUCUGGAGGCUCCGGGAACCAUGUUUCCUCCCCUUUUCCAGUUUUCAGAGACCACCAACUUCCCCGGUUCGUGGCCCCUCCGCAUCUCCAAAGCCAGCGGGAUGGCCCCUCCAGUCUCCCUCUGACUCCUCCCCUCUCCCCCUUAGAGGACCCUACCGGGACAGCGGGCCCACCAGAUCAUCCAGGACCACCGCCCCAUCCCCAGGCCCUCGAUCCUGCCACACCGGCAAAGCGCCUUUGGCCAUGAAGGGAUCGUCCUCACGAAUUCCUUCUGAGCACGAAAAUACGGACAUCGUCGGGGGGCGUUACCCCGCCUACCCCAAGUUCCUUCCCUCUUGAACCUUCUAAGAUUCUGGGCAAGGGAGAGGAGUCUUCUCUACCAAACACCAUCAGUGACAAUG